UAGAUACCCUAGUAUAAUAAUAAUUAUUUUUAAAGUAAAAAGUAUAUAUAGUGAAAUUUAAUAAUUUUGGCGGUUAAUUUUUUAUAUAUCAGAGGAGCUUGUUUGAGUUAAGAAUUUACACUUUAUAUCUUAUUAAAAAAUUUUUUAUUCAUCUCCGUUAUUAGAUUAUAGUUGAAAAAUUUAUAAAAAAAUAUUUCAGGUCAAGAUGUAAUAAUUUAUUAAUAAAGAUUAGCUACAUUUUAGUAUAUUUGGAUUUAAAAGAAAAGCAAAUUAUACUGAGAAAUUGAAUUUGAUUGUAAUAAUAAUUAGAGAUUUAUUUUGAACUAUCAAAAUUAAUGUUUAUAUUGCCCGUCAUUUCUGUUACUAAUAAGAAUAAGUCGUAACAA
rnacentral:rRNA from 1 species